rnacentral:rRNA from 1 species
UUCCGGUUGAUCUUGCCGGAGGCGACCGCUUUUGGAGUUCGAUUAAGCCAUGCGAGUAGAAAGAAAUUAGAUUCUUUGCGAACUGCUCAGUAACACGUGGAUAACCUGCCCUAUGCUCUGGAAUAACCUCGGGAAACUGAGAAUAAUACCGGAUAGAUCACAACGCCUGGAACGGUGUGUGAUUGAAAGAUUACGGCAUAGGAUGGGUCUGCGGCGUAUCAGGUUGUAGGGGGUGUAAAGGACCUCCUAGCCAUCGACGCGUACGGGUGUUGGGAGACAUAGCCCGGAGAUGGAUUCUGAGACACGAAUCCAGACCCUACGGGGUGCAGCAGGCGCGAAAACUUCACACUGCAGGAAACUGUGAUGAGGGAACUCCAAGUGACUACACAUUUGUGUAGCUCUUUUCUUAACUAUUAAUCGGUUUGGGAAUAAGGGCUGGGAAAGACCGGUGCCAGCCGCCGCGGUAAUACCGGCAGCUCGAGUGGUCGUCGCUUUUAUUGGGCCUAAAACGUCCGUAGCCUGUUUGGUAAAUCUGUGGGUAAAUCAACCAGCUUAACUGGUUGAAUUCUGCAGAGACUGCCAGACUAGGGACCGGGAGAGGUGUGGGGUACUCUAGGGGUAGGGGUAAAAUCCUGUCAUCCUUAGAGGACCACCAGUUGCGAAGGCGCCACACUAGAACGGAUCCGACGGUCAGGGACGAAGCCUAGGGGCACGAACCGGAUUAGAUACCCGGGUAGUCCUAGGUGUAAACGCUGUGAACUUGGCGUCGGGAGUCCGCAAUGGGCCCCCGGUGCCGGAGUGAAGAUGUUAAGUUCACUGCCUGGGGAGUACGGUCGCAAGGCUGAAACUUAAAGGAAUUGGCGGGGGAGCACUGCAACGGGAGGAGCGUGCGGUUUAAUUGGAUUCAACGCCGGA